GGAGGAGGUGGAGGGGGGAAAAAGUUUUGUGUCUUUUAGCUGGCAGGAUUGGAGCAGGUCGCGGAUGUGGUCGGUGCUUAUUAAAACGAUGAUGCAUAAAAAGUGGAGCUGAGCUCCAGACGGGCGCGGUGCGCUUCUCUCCGCUGUCCGGCGGCUGGAGGACCAACACCUGCGAGAAGAAAAAGAGAAACCGGGGGAACCGAAAAGGAGGCCACGGACUUCAAAGCAGCUUCAUCUACAGGAGGAGAAGACGAAGAGGAGGAGGAGGAGGAGGAGAACAGGAGGAGGAGGAGGCGCAGGGGCGCGCAGAUUUGCGCGUUCGCUUUUAUUGCGUUUAUAUCUUGAGUGUCUCUAAAAACCUGACGCUUUUUUAUUUAUUUUUUUAAAACGUAAGGCGUUUUUAAUUUAAAGUUUUCAAAUGAGAAAAAUAAAUAAAUAAAUAGAAACGCAUUAAAAAAGCGCUUGGUGUUGUCCCGCUGAUACACUGAAGAUGACCAGAAGACUCAGAGUCCUCUCCAGGUGCUCGUCCUCCUCCUCAGCCCUGCGAACGAACACACACACACAUUCAGACAAACACAGGGUCAAAGGUCAGACAAGGACUCAAAGGAAAGCCACCUUGAACAAGAACAACUCUACCUCACCUUCCUGCUGCUUCAUACCUGCCUUCGGUGGGACUCUAAAUACAAGAAAUGGGGUCUGUACCUCAUUUUGAAGCCUCCCUUGCAUUCCCUGACUCCACCUGAACCUUCCUGACUUCCUGAACUUCCUGAGCUACGGAAACACAACACCUGAACACCUGAACAAAACUGGAGGACUGAUUGCGGCUGUGAUGGACUUACUCUUUCUCCUGUGCAUCGAGGUCUCGAACCAGUGCGUCACGUUUGUUGACCAGUAUGACCAGCUCAUCCAGAAGGAGCUGCUCCCGCCUCUUCUGGGCCUCUGUCUUCUGCCAGUCUGAAAACACAGCAAGAGGAAAACUUCAGGACGAAGGUUCAGAAGAGCAAAUGGUGACCCUACAUACAUUACACUCCAAAACCUCCACAGAGACGGAGACAUUUGAACAAGGACAAAGAAAAAAAACCCAAAAAACUUCUGAGAGGACUGAGAGGACGAAUUGCUCACUGUGCCCAAAAAAAAAAAUAUAUAUAUAUAAAUAUGAGCUCCACUCUAAGCUUAGCUGCUGGACUCAUGAAGAGUGGCCAUUUUCUGUGUGAAGAUUGAGAAUACAACUGUCGUAAAGCAUCACCGCUGCCGCAGUUUGGUGAACUUCUAUCAGUCGCUACCUCCACAGAGUGGAAUUCACAAACAUGAGAACAUCUGAUAAGAGGGGUAAACAUGAGGACACAGGGUACCGCCAUCACCCGCCAAUACCAUUUACCGCAGUUUCCCAACACUCUGGAACACCUACUGUCCACCUAACUCCUCGGAUAUGAUUCCAAACGGGUCAGGAUCUCUCGCUGCUAUCUGAGAUACAAAACACAGUCCUUCUGACCCAGCUAGAUUAAGUCACAACCAUGGCUUUUAAAAGGGAGCAACAAAAGAAGUCUGUGGAAACCAAUAGAGAUUGUUCAGUCAGGUCACAGGAGUACUGGUUGUGACUUAAACUAGGUGGGUCUUAACUUAGUUGAGAGGUCCUGACCAAUUUGGAGUCCUAAUUCAGGUAGACGUCCUCAAGCACCGCCAUCAGAAGGUGCAGGGCAGAGUCAACCAAGGCAAAUCUUGUUCACAAGUCUGUACAUGUGAUUUGAAGUGGUUGUGUGUGCUUUUUAAAUGUUUUAAGCUACUGCCAAACUGCGUGUGUGUGUGUGUGUGUAAAUCUGUGUGAGCACACGAGGUGACCCGGCCAGGUCGGCUGGCUUGCUGGUCUGAAAUAUCAGCUCAGCUAACAUGAUCAGCCAUUACUGAUACCAGCGGAGAUUAGGCCGUGCUCACAGCCAACGGGACGUUAACUGCACCAGGCCUAUUCUUUCUCCCCGUGUAAGGACACACUGUGCUGGUAGCGUCUGCAUGCUGCUUUCACACACUUCACAGAAACCAAAAAGAAAGAAGGGGGGAAUUUAAAAGAAAGAAAGAAAAAAAAACGAGGCUAAGUCUAGUCUAACCCUGACUAAAGUCCUUAUGUUGCUCGGCCCUCUCCCACUAACCCGCUAACCCUCGACAGUGUAUCAAUAUUUGACCGCCAUUGAUUCCCGUGCAAAAAGGGCGGAGGAGAUAAAACAGACGUUUGGCCUGUUCCCCUGUAAAAUGUCAAUCCUUAAAAUAAGUGUACUUUAUUAAAAAUAAAUAUUUCUUCUGUGGUGGUGUGAAAUUGCGGCAGUGGGGCGGUGCGUGUGAGUCCCGCUGUGAGCCGGGGUGGGUCCUGAAAGGUCUCCUCCGCUGCCUCAUUUAGCCUUUGAAGUGAAGCACACAGGCGAAAUGAACACAGUUCCAAUAUUUGGCAAGUUAUUCGGCCCUCCAGCUCCAAAGGAAACGACUCCAACGCUGCCUCCAGUCUUCAGCCUCAUCAAAAGGCUAAAGCUGCAAAGACUCUGCAAAUAUUUUAAGAAUUCGUCUGAAGUUUUUCUUUCUGGCUUUAAGGACAAAACGCGAGGUGGAGUAAAGACUUGCAGAGUUUUGAGGAACCUUCAUUCGUUGUGUAUACUUGUACGUUUCUUGUAUGUUUCUUGUGUGUUAAUAGUAAAAAUCCUUCCAUCA